rnacentral:tRNA from 1 species
UAUGGGGUUGGCAGAGAGUAAUGCAGUUGACUUAGGAUCAACAGACAAAAACUUAGUAGUUUUUACCUCAUAA